AAGAAAGUGCGGCGGAAAGUAAGAGGCUCAUUGGGGGAAGACUGGCCGGAUCAGGGUCCCCGGGCUCCGCUUUGGCCAGACUCACCGAAAGAAGCAGUGUCGGGCGACCCUGCCACCCGUCCCCACUGGUUCUCUGCGCCCGUUCUGCUUCCCAAGAAAGGAUGGGACUUCUGUGGUGUAUGAUGAGUCUCUACUUCUAUGGGAUCCUGCAAAGUGAUGCCUCAGAACGCUGUGAUGACUGGGGACUAGAUACCAUGAGGCAGAUCCAAGUGUUUGAAGAUGAGCCAGCUCGCCUCAAGUGCCCACUCUUUGAACACUUCUUGAAAUACAACUACAGCACAGCCCACUCAGCUGGCCUGACUCUGAUCUGGUAUUGGACGAGGCAGGACCGGGACCUGGAGGAGCCAAUUAACUUCCGCCUCCCUGACAACCGCAUUAGUAAGGAGAAAGAUGUUCUCUGGUUCCGACCCACUCUCCUCAACGAUACCGGCAACUAUACCUGCAUGUUAAGGAACACCACAUACUGCAGCAAAGUUGCAUUUCCCCUGGAAGUGGUUCAGAAAGACAGCUGCUUCAAUUCCUCCAUGAAACUUCCACUGCACAAGCUGUAUAUAGAGUAUGGUGUUCAGAAGAUCACGUGUCCAAAUGUAGAUGGGUUCUUUCCUUCCACUGUCAAACCAACCAUCACUUGGUACAUGGGCUGUCAGAAAAUACAGAACUUUAAUAAUGUGGUAGCUGAAGGCCUGAACUUGAGUUUUCUCAUCGCCUUGGUUUCGAACAAUGGAGAUUACACAUGUGUUGUUACAUAUCCAGAAAAUGGGCGUACCUUCCAUCUCACUAGGACUCUGACUGUAAAGGUGGUAGGCUCUCCAAAAGAUGCAUUGCCUCCUCAGAUCUAUUCACCCAAUGAUCUUGUGGUCUACGAGAAAGAACCGGGAGAGGAACUACUCAUCCCCUGUACAGUCUAUUUUACUUUCCUGAAGGAUGCUCGCAAUGAGGUUUGGUGGACCAUUGAUGGAAAAAAGCCAGAUGACACCAACAUUGAUGUAACUGUUAAUGAAAGUAUAAGUUUGACCCCAACCGAAGAUGAAACGAGGACUCAGAUUUUGAACAUCAAAAAAGUUACUGCUGAGGAUCUCAAGCGCAACUAUGUCUGUCAUGCUAGAAAUGCCAAAGGGGAGGUUGACAAAGCAGCCAAGGUGAAACAGAAAGCUCCAAGAUACACAGUGGAAUUAGCAUGUGGUUUUGGAGCCACAGUCCUGCUGGUAGUGAUUCUCAUUGUUGUUUACCACGUUUACUGGCUGGAGAUGGUCUUAUUUUACCGGGCUCAUUUUGGAACAGAUGAAACCAUUUUAGAUGGGAAGGAAUAUGAUAUUUAUGUAUCUUAUGCAAGGAAUGCUGAGGAAGAAGAGUUUGUGUUACUGACCCUCCGUGGUGUCUUGGAGAAUGAAUUUGGAUACAAGCUGUGCAUCUUUGAUCGUGACAGUCUACCUGGGGGAAAUACAGUGGAAGCAGUCUUUGACUUCAUUCAGAGAAGCCGAAGGAUGAUUGUUGUCCUGAGCCCAGACUAUGUGACAGAAAAAAGCAUCAGCAUGCUGGAGUUUAAACUGGGUGUCAUGUGCCAGAACUCUAUUUCCACCAAGCUUAUUGUGGUUGAGUACCGUCCCCUUGAGCACCCACACCCAAGCAUCCUGCAGCUGAAGGAAUCUGUGUCUUUUGUGAGCUGGAAGGGAGAAAAGUCCAAACAUUCUGGCUCUAAAUUCUGGAAGGCCUUGCGGUUGGCACUUCCCCUGAGAAGUCUGAGUGCCAGCUCUGGCUGGAAUGAAAGCUGUUCUUCCCAGUCUGACAUCAGUCUGGACCAUGUUCAAAGGAGGAGAAGUCGUUUGAAAGAGCCCCCAGAACUCCAGGGCUCAGGGAGAGCAUCAGGCACCUCUCCAGCCCCAGACAUGAUGUCCAAGCACAGAGGGAAGUCCUCUGCAGCCUGUCGCUGCUGUGUCACCUACUGUGAAGGAGAGAGUCACCUUAGGAGCAAGAGCCGGGCAGAGAUACAUACCCAGCCCCAGUGGGAGACACACCUCUGUAAGCCUGUUCCCCAAGAAUCAGAAACUCAAUGGAUACAAAAUGGCACCAGAUUGGAGCCCCCUGCUUCCCAGAUCUCAGCCCUUGCUCUUCACCAUUUUACGGAUUUAUCCAAUAACAAUGACUUCUAUAUCUUAUAAUUACUCUGUGGUGGGUGGUGGCUGUUAUCUAUCUAUACCAGCCCUCCUUGUGUUAUGAACCUAUGGGAGUAAUUGACAUUUUUAUCAUCUAAUGGACUACCAGACUGUGUCCCCUUUAUUGAUUUUUAAAAACUAUUUAUUUCUAGGAGACAAAAGACCUGAGGACCCGAAUCCAGAAUUAUUGCCUCUAAUGGCCUCAGAAGAGCACACUCUUCUUGGGCCCUAGAAGGUUAAAUGGAUAUCAUUUACAUAGGAAUAUUGCCUAUUUAGGAGCAGGAGUUUUAAGUCAAGUAGAGAUGAAUGCUCUGAUUUUCUCCAGCCAAGAAGGACUACAAAUCAUCCUUUUAACAAGGUGUUUGCAGGCAAUAGAUGAAAAUACUAAGGCAUGCUUAGCCCUUGAGUUGCCUUGGCACAGGAGACAAUUAAGUAGAGGAGUGGUUGAUACAGUGUAUUUCUAAUAUAUGAAGCAUCAAAUACUGACAUUUGAAAUCUGGUAUGAUUGCUGUAGUCAUCACAUGUAUUAAUCAGAUUCAGAUAAGGUAUGCUAAGUAACCCCAACACUUUAGUAGGUUUACAUAACAAGACCUAUUUCUUGUUUAUGCUGUAUGUCCAGAUAGGGGCUUACAUUUUUGUAGUUUUGCCAUCUGAAAUGUGUAGCUCCCUGCUAUUCUACUUCAGCCUAAAUAUGACACCACUCUCACUUACAAUCCAUUGGUCAAAACUAGCUGUGGCAUAGAUCUAGUCAUAGGGAAGGCUGGCAAAUGCAUUCUUCCUGUGUUCCUGGGAAGAGAAAAAUGAAAUGGAACUUGGUGAACACAUAGCAUUGUCUUUGCCUAAGAAUGAGAUACUGAGAUUGCCUGAAGAGGCAAGAGAACUACAACUGGAGUUAUGUUACAUACUUUGAUAAUGAAGAAACGGAAUGAUUCCUGCCAACACCCCACCACCACUUGCCAAGGUGUCAAGUCAGGUACUUAUUUUAAAAAUGUAUAGAAAUG